rnacentral:rRNA from 1 species
AUUGAACGCUGGCGGCAGGCCUAACACAUGCAAGUCGAACGAGUGGCGGACGGGUGAGUAAUGUCUGGGAAACUGCCCGAUGGAGGGGGAUAACUACUGGAAACGGUAGCUAAUACCGCAUACCAUCGGAUGUGCCCAGAUGGGAUUAGCUUGUAGGUGAGGUAACGGCUCACCUAGGCGACGAUCCCUAGCUGGUCUGAGAGGAUGACCGGACACAUUGGAACUGAGACACGGUCGAGAUGCCUACGGGAGGCAGCAGUGGGGAAUAUUGCGCAAUUGGCGCAAGCGUUAUGCAGCUAUGCCGCGUGGAUGGGGAAGGCCUGCGUGUUGUAAAGUACUUUCAGCGGGGAGGCUGUACCCGCAGAAGAAGCACCGGCGAACUCCGUGCCAGCCGCCGCGCAAUUCC